GAGUAGUAAAUGUUUUGGACAGGAAACUUAAAGAAUUUGGCGGUGUAUAUUCUAAUUAGAGGAAUAUGUUUUUUCAUUGAUACUCCCCAUGUAUUUUACUUAGAUUUAUUUAUUUUGUAUAUCUCCGUCUUAAAAAAACUUUCUAAAAUAUUUUUUAUUUUUUAUAAUUUAAAAUAAGU
rnacentral:rRNA from 1 species